GCCGGUGCAAUUCCGGCGCUGUCCCGCAACUGUGAAUUUAGUUAGGUAGUUGGAUAGUUACGUAGUUGGAUAGUUACGUAGUUAUGUAGUUGGAUAGUUAAAUAGUUGGGUAGUUUGAUGUUCAACUACCAAACUACCAAACUACAAAACUACAAAACUACCAAACUACCAAACUAAAUGAGUCAGG
rnacentral:ncRNA from 2 species